UGCUGAGAGUGGCGGACGGGUGAGUAAUGCUUGGGAAUCUGGCUUAUGGAGGGGGAUAACUACGGGAAACUGUAGCUAAUACCGCGUAAUAUCUUCGGAUUAAAGGGUGGGACUUUCGGGCCACCUGCCAUAAGAUGAGCCCAAGUGGGAUUAGGUAGUUGGUGGGGUAAAGGCCUACCAAGCCGACGAUCUCUAGCUGGUCUGAGAGGAUGACCAGCCACACUGGAACUGAGACACGGUCCAGACUCCUACGGGAGGCAGCAGUGGGGAAUAUUGCACAAUGGGGGGAACCCUGAUGCAGCCAUGCCGCGUGAAUGAAGAAGGCCUUCGGGUUGUAAAGUUCUUUCGGUGAUGAGGAAGGGUAGUGUUUUAAUAGAGCACUACAUUGACGUUAGUCACAGAAGAAGCACCGGCUAACUCCGUGCCAGCAGCCGCGGUAAUACGGAGGGUGCGAGCGUUAAUCGGAAUGACUGGGCGUAAAGGGCACGCAGGCGGUGACUUAAGUGAGAUGUGAAAGCCCCGAGCUUAACUUGGGAAUUGCAUCUCAUACUGGGUUGCUAGAGUAUUUUAGGGAGGGGUAG
rnacentral:rRNA from 1 species